AAUUUUGGUCAAUGGGGGAAACCCCGAUCCAGCAAUGCCGCGUGCAGGAUGAAGGCCUUCGGGUUGUAAACUGCUUUUGUACGGAACGAAAAGUCUCGGGCCAAUACCCUGGGACCAUGACUGUACCGUAAGAAUAAGCCCCGUCUAACUAGCGUGCACGCGCCGCGGUAAUAGGUAGGGUGCAAGCGUUCAUCGGAAUUACUGGUCGUAAAGCGUGCGCAGGCGGUUUUGUAAGACAGUGGUGAAAUCCCCGGGCUCAACCUGGGAACUGCCAUUGUGACUGCAGGGCUGGAGUGCGGCAGAGGGGGAUGGAAUUCCGCGUGUAGCAGUGAAAUGCGUAGAUAUGCGGAGGAACACCGAUGGCGAAGGCAAUCCCCUGGGCCUGCACUGACGCUCAUGCACGAAAGCGUGGGGAGCAGACAGG
rnacentral:rRNA from 1 species